ACCUGGCCCUGCAGGCUGAUUUUGACAGUGUUGCAGAAGAUGUGAGGAAGCUGAAAACAAGACCAGAUGAGGAAGGACUGAAACAACUCUAUGGGCUUUAGAAACAAGCUAUAACUGGGGACAUUAAUAUUGAGUGUUCAGGAAUGCUAGAUUUAAAAGGCAAGGCCAAAUGAGAAGCAUUGAAUUUCCAAAAUGGGAUAUCAAAGGACAAUGUGAUGAGUAUAUAUAUAUAUACAUAUAUUUUUUUUUUGAGACAGAGUCU
rnacentral:lncRNA from 1 species